rnacentral:rRNA from 1 species
AUUAGAUACCCUGGUAGUCCACGCCGUAAACGGUGGGUGCUAGUUGUGGGCCACAUUCCACGUGGUCCGUGACGAAGUUAACACAUUAAGCACCCCGCCUGGGGAGUACGGUCGCAAGACUAAAACUCAAAGGAAUUGACGGGGGCCCGCACAAGCGGCGGAGCAUGCGGAUUAAUUCGAUGCAACGCGAAGAACCUUACCAAGGCUUGACAUAUAGAGGAAACGUGCAGAAAUGUACGCCCCGCAAGGUCUCUAUACAGGUGGUGCAUGGUUGUCGUCAGCUCGUGUCGUGAGAUGUUGGGUUAAGUCCCGCAACGAGCGCAACCCUCGUCCUAUGUUGCCAGCACGUAAUGGUGGGAACUCAUGGGAGACUGCCGGGGUCAACUCGGAGGAAGGUGGGGAUGACGUCAAAUCAUCAUGCCCCUUAUGUCUUGGGCUUCACGCA